rnacentral:rRNA from 1 species
UCAGCCGCCGCGGUAAUACGGGAGUGGCAAGCGUUAUCCGGAAUUAUUGGGCGUAAAGCGUCCGCAGGCGGUCUGUCAAGUCUGCUGUUAAAGCGUGGAGCUUAACUCCAUUUCGGCAGUGGAAACUGACAGACUAGAGUGUGGUAGGGGCAGAGGGAAUUCCCGGUGUAGCGGUGAAAUGCGUAGAUAUCGGGAAGAACACCAGUGGCGAAGGCGCUCUGCUGGGCCAUAACUGACGCUCAUGGACGAAAGCCAGGGGAGCGAAAGGGAUUAGAUACCCCUGUAGUCCUGGCCGUAAACGAUGAACACUAGGUGUCGGGGGAAUCGACCCCCUCGGUGUCGUAGCCAACGCGUUAAGUGUUCCGCCUGGGGAGUACGCACGCAAGUGUGAAACUCAAAGGAAUUGACGGGGGCCCGCACAAGCGGUGGAGUAUGUGGUUUAAUUCGAUGCAACGCGAAGAACCUUACCAGGGUUUGACAUCCUGCGAAUCUCUUGGAAACGAGAGAGUGCCUUCGGGAACGCAGUGACAGGUGGUGCAUGGCUGUCGUCAGCUCGUGUCGUGAGAUGUUGGGUUAAGUCCCGCAACGAGCGCAACCCACGUCGUUAGUUGCCAGCAUUUAGUUGGGCACUCUAGCGAGACCGCCGGUGAUAAACCGGAGGAAGGUGUGGAUGACGUCAAGUCAUCAUGCCCCUUACAUCCUGGGCUACACACGUACUACAAUGCUACGGACAAAGGGCAGCAAACUCGCGAGAGCUAGCAAAUCCCAUAAACCGUGGCUCAGUUCAGAUCGUAGGCUGCAACUCGCCUACGUGAAGGAGGAAUCGCUAGUAAUCGCAGGUCAGCAUAC